UGUCCGCAUGCUGCUCUCUGACAUGGCUGGAAGAACACCUCUUUAUAGAGAUGCCUACGUCUUCUUCAGCUCUUCUGUCCCAAAAGAAUUGGUUAAUUACAUAAAAAAAG